rnacentral:rRNA from 1 species
GUAAGGAAUAUUGGUCAAUGGGCGCAAGCCUGAACCAGCCAUGCCGCGUGCAGGAAGACGGCCCUCCGGGUUGUAAACUGCUUUUGUACGGGAAUAAACCUCUCUACGUGUAGGGAGCUGAAUGUACCGUAAGAAUAAGGAUCGGCUAACUCCGUGCCAGCAGCCGCGGUAAUACGGAGGAUCCAAGCGUUAUCCGGAUUUAUUGGGUUUAAAGGGUGCGUAGGCGGCCUGUUAAGUCAGGGGUGAAAGACGGUGGCUCAACCAUCGCAGUGCCCUUGAUACUGAUGGGCUUGAAUAGACUAGAGGUAGGCGGAAUGUGACAAGUAGCGGUGAAAUGCAUAGAUAUGUCACAGAACACCGAUUGCGAAGGCAGCUUACUAUGGUCUGAUUGACGCUGAGGCACGAAAGCGUGGGGAUCGAACAGGAUUAGAUACCCUAGUAGUCC